ACCACAGUAAAAACUAUGGAUUUUGGGUGAUUAAGAUGUGUAGGUUCACCAGUUAUAACAAAUGUACCAUCCAGUUGGGGGUGUUAAUACUGGGGGAGGUUGUGCAUGUGUGUAGGGGCAGAAGGUAGAUGGAAAGUCUCUGUACUUUCCACUCAGUGUUGCUGUGAACCUAAAACUGAUCUAAAAAAUAAAGUCUACUUAAAAAAAUCUGAUUAUAUGGAGUCAUGCAGAGAAAAGAGAACUUUUAAAGAAAGAAAAAUACCUCAAUGUGGUUUUUUUUCUUACAGAUUUACCUCAGAAUAAUUGACGUACAAUAAACCGCACAAAUUCAGAGUUUACAGUUUGCAAUACCCAGACCUGGCUCAGAAUUCCUGCUCCACCUGGUGGCAGCUGUGUGAUCUUGAGCAGACCACUUGACCUUUCCAAUCAUUACUUAUCCCAGGGUUGUGGAGAUUAAACGAGGUAUGUCCACAGUCCUUGGCACAAGAUAUUCUCCUACUGACCAAUCAUCAGAAAUAUUAAUAUUUUGAGCAGUUUUCUUGAAUUAAAAAUGUUUAAAUAAAUUACUAUGAGCUGGAGUUCAGAAGAUGGCGGCGUGAGUAGAGCAGCAGAAAUCUCCUCCCAAAACCAUAUAUAUUUUGAAAAUACAACAAAUACAACUACUCCUAAAAGAGAGACCAUAAGACACAGGACAACAGCCAGACUACAUCUACACCUGCGAGAACCCA